GGCCGAGGUCAGGUCAGAUGUGGACUAGGGAGGAAUGUGGGCCGAGGUCAGGUCAGAUGUGGACUAGGGAGGAAUGUGGGCCGAGGUCAGGUCAGAUGUGGACUAGGGAGGAAUGUGGGCCGAGGUCAGGUCAGAUGUGGACUAGGGAGGAAUGUGGGCCGAGGUCAGGUCAGAUGUGGAUUAGGGAGGAAU